ACUCAAACACAGGCUGCUGGAGAAGAGACUGGAGAAUGAGAGGGACAACAAGGACGGCAGAGCAGAAUCUGCCCUAUCCACCAGGAGUUUUGAUGGACAGGCGGAUGCACUGCACAGUGUGCUUAGAUGAAAAAAGGACCUGCUGCAAAGACUAAGGGAGCAGCACAUGUUGGAGGACCUGGGGAGACGGUACCGCCCAGACCUCCUCCCGUCCUUCUGCUUCCUCCUCCGGCCCCCAUCCAUAUCUACCAGCCUGCCCCUGCACCCCCAGCAACUGUUACCCCAGCAGCCUACUACCUUCAUACAGCAGUUACCACAGCAACACCUCCUCAUACAACAGAUACCCCCUCAGCCUUACCCUGCACCACGGUCUGGGAGCAUCAAAGAAGGUCAACACACACA